UACGUAGGGUGCAAGCGUUGUCCGGAAUUAUUGGGCGUAAAGAGCUCGUAGGCGGUUUGUCGCGUCUGCUGUGAAAUCUUAGGGCUUAACCCUGAGCUUGCAGUGGGUACGGGCAGACUAGAGUGCGGUAGGGGAGACUGGAAUUCCUGGUGUAGCGGUGAAAUGCGCAGAUAUCAAGUGGAACACCAGUGGCGAAGGCGAGUCCCUGGACAAAACCUGACACUGGAGGCAACGAAAGCUAGGGGAGCAAACAGG
rnacentral:rRNA from 1 species